rnacentral:rRNA from 1 species
UACGUAGGGGGCAAGCGUUGUCCGGAAUCACUGGGCGUAAAGCGCACGUAGGCGGAUUGUUAAGUCAGGGGUGAAAUCCUGGAGCUCAACUCCAGAACUGCCCUUGAUACUGGCGAUCUUGAGUCCGGAAGAGGUGAGUGGAACUCCGAGUGUAGAGGUGAAAUUCGUAGAUAUUCGGAAGAACACCAGUGGCGAAGGCGGCUCACUGGUCCGGUACUGACGCUGAGGUGCGAAAGCGUGGGGAGCAAACAGG